AUGGGAAACACUUGCAGCUACUUACAUAAAGCACUCAGCCCAGUGCCUGGCGUGAAGGAAACUUUCAGACAUGAACUCAGUGACCCAGACAACUGAAGCAGAGGGGAUGAAGCUCACUGGGUCCUCAACAGUUUCUACUUUACCACAAUCCAUGCGGGUGCAUCAUAAAGAGGGAAGACUGAUGACCAAGUGGUUCUGGACAAAUCAAGGUAAAAAGAUCAUACUAUAUUUCACAGGGAUUCGUUUUGGAAUGUAAUGGCUGGUCACUCCCUUGACUGUGUGUAUCUCUUAACACAUAAUUCUGAAAUGUGGCCUGCACCAUGAAGAUAUACAUGAGAUGGGCGUUCAUUACUUCUUCAGUCAUGCUGGAGACUCUCAAAAAUAACACUUUUGAAAGAUCUUUAUUCUUGACACUUUAUUUUUCAUUUAAAACUCAAAAAGCAGCAUAUUUCUUUUGAGGUUUGAGUUUAGGCAGUUCCUUUUCAAAAGAAUACAUACACAUGGCCAGCAUAUGAAAAAAAAUCACUUAUGAUUAGAGAAAUGCACAUCAAAACCACAAUGAGACACCAUCUUACACCAAUCAGAAUGGCUGUUACUAAAAAGUAAAAAAAUAACAGAUGCUGGUGAGGUUACGGAGAGAAAGGAGUGCUUCCACACUGUUGGUGGGAGUGUGAAUUAGGCAGCCACUGAAGAA
rnacentral:lncRNA from 1 species